UGACAUGGCUACUGCAUAAUUUCCAUCAUUUUAUAUAUAAAUAAAUAAAUCAAGACAUCAAUUACCAUGAACAAAAUUUAAACAGCAACUCUUGAAAUACGUCCGAGGCAUAAACAAGUUGAAGCUAUAAGGUUUUUAAUUUUCCCCUUCCGAUGAAAUACUCUUAAUUUUGAGCUUCUUUCUAGCUGUUUUUUGAGAGUGAAUUUUGUUUGUACAAAGCAAUCUGCAAC
rnacentral:lncRNA from 1 species